rnacentral:rRNA from 1 species
AACGCGAAGAACCUUACCUACCCUUGACAUCCGGCUGACCGGUGAGUAAUGUCACCUUUCCUUCGGGACAUUCGAGACAGGUGGUGCAUGGUUGUCGUCAGCUCGUGUCGUGAGAUGUUGGGUUAAGUCCCGCAACGAGCGCAACCCUUAUCUUCAGUAGCCAGCAUUUAGGAUGGGCACUCUGGAGAGACUGCCAGGGAUAACCUGGAGGAAGGUGGGGAUGACGUCAAAUCAUCAUGCCCCUUAUGGGCAGGGCUACACACGUGCUACAAUGGCGUAAACAAAGGGAGGCAGAGCCGCGAGGCCGAGCAAAUCUCAAAAAUAACGUCUCAGUUCGGAUUGUAGUCUGCAACUCGACUACAUGAAGCUGGAAUCGCUAGUAAUCGCGAAUCAGAAUGUCGCGGUGAAUACGUUCCCGGGUCUUGUACACACCG